AUUGAACGCUGGCGGCAUGCCUUACACAUGCAAGUCGAACGGCAGCAAGGGAGCAAUCCUGGUGGCGAGUGGCGAACGGGUGAGUAAUGUAUCGGAACGUGCCCAGUCGUGGGGGAUAACGUAGCGAAAGCUACGCUAAUACCGCAUACGAUCUAUGGAUGAAAGCGGGGGAUCGCAAGACCUCGCGCGAUUGGAGCGGCCGAUAUCAGACUAGGUAGUUGGUGGGGUAAAAGCUCACCAAGCCGACGAUCUGUAGCUGGUCUGAGAGGACGACCAGCCACACUGGGACUGAGACACGGCCCAGACUCCUACGGGAGGCAGCAGUGGGGAAUUUUGGACAAUGGGCGCAAGCCUGAUCCAGCAAUGCCGCGUGCAGGAUGAAGGCCUUCGGGUUGUAAACUGCUUUUGUACGGAGCGAAAAAGCUUCCACUAAUACUGGGGGCUCAUGACGGUACCGUAAGAAUAAGCACCGGCUAACUACGUGCCAGCAGCCGCGGUAAGAC
rnacentral:rRNA from 1 species